rnacentral:rRNA from 1 species
GACUCCUACGGGAGGCAGCAGUGGGGAAUAUUGCACAAUGGGGGAAACCCUGAUGCAGCCAUGCCGCGUGUAUGAAGAAGGCCUUCGGGUUGUAAAGUACUUUCGGUGAUGAGGAAGGUGAUGAAUCUAAUAGGUUUAUUAAUUGACGUUAAUCACAGAAGAAGCACCGGCUAACUCCGUGCCAGCAGCCGCGGUAAUACGGAGGGAGCGAGCGUUAAUCGGAAUGACUGGGCGUAAAGGGCAUGUAGGCGGAUAAUUAAGUUAGGUGUGAAAGCCCUGGGCUCAACCUAGGAAUUGCACUUAAAACUGGUUAACUAGAGUAUUGUAGAGGAAGGUAGAAUUCCACGUGUAGCGGUGAAAUGCGUAGAGAUGUGGAGGAAUACCGGUGGCGAAGGCGGCCUUCUGGACAGAUACUGACGCUGAGAUGCGAAAGCGUGGGGAGCAAACAGGAUUAGAUACCCUGGUAGUCCACGCUGUAAACGAUGUCGAUUUGGAGUUUGUUGCCUAGAGUGAUGGGCUCCGAAGCUAACGCGAUAAAUCGACCGCCUGGGGAGUACGGCCGCAAGGUUAAAACUCAAAUGAAUUGACGGGGGCCCGCACAAGCGGUGGAGCAUGUGGUUUAAUUCGAUGCAACGCGAAGAACCUUACCUGGUCUUGACAUCCACAGAAUCUUGUAGAGAUACGAGAGUGCCUUCGGGAACUGUGAGACAGGUGCUGCAUGGCUGUCGUCAGCUCGUGUUGUGAAAUGUUGGGUUAAGUCCCGCAACGAGCGCAACCCUUAUCCUUUGUUGCCAUCGAUUAGGUCGGGAACUCAAAGGAGACUGCCGUUGAUAAAGCGGAGGAAGGUGGGGACGACGUCAAGUCAUCAUGGCCCUUACGACCAGGGCUACACACGUGCUACAAUGGCGUAUACAAAGGGAGGCGACCUCGCGAGAGUAAGCGGACCUCACAAAGUACGUCUAAGUCCGGAUUGGAGUCUGCAACUCGACUCCAUGAAGUCGGAAUCGCUAGUAAUCGUGAAUCAGAAUGUCACGGUGAAUACGUUCCCGGGCCUUGUACACACCGCCCGUCACACCAUGGGAGUGGGUUGCACCAGAAGUAGAUAGCUUAACCUUCGGGAGGGCGUUUACCACGGUGUGGUUCAUGACUGGGGUGAAGUCGUAACAAGGUAACCGUAGGGGAACCUGCGGUUGGAUCACCUCCUUAC